rnacentral:rRNA from 1 species
UACAGAGGGUGCGAGCGUUAAUCGGAAUUACUGGGCGUAAAGCGCACGUAGGUGGCGACGUAAGUCGGGUGUGAAAGCCCCGGGCUCAACCUGGGAAUUGCAUUCGAGACUGCAUUGCUGGAGUACGGAAGAGGAAGGCGGAAUUCCCGGUGUAGCGGUGAAAUGCGUAGAUAUCGGGAGGAACAUCAGUGGCGAAGGCGGCCUUCUGGACAGUGACUGACGCUGAGACGCGAAAGCGUGGGGAGCGAACAGG